UUCGCUCUUCAAGGCCGGGCCUCGUCCCACCGAACCUCGACACGCGUGCACGGGUGCCAUUCUUCCUCCUGGCCCGAGAAGCGUCCUCCCCAGCCCCCAGCGAGGCGAUCCACGUGCCCCCACCCCGGGGUCCUUCCCCCCAGACGGGUGGGGGAGGCGGUGGGGGAGAGGGGGCGCCCUCCCCCCGACUCCCACCUCCCACGCCAUCCCCCUCCCCCGGCCGGCGGGCGAGGUCCCGUGGGGAAGGCCCGGUCGGUAGGCCCGGUUGGGAGGCCGGAGGAGAGGGGCCCCAUCGGGAGGCCGGGGUUGGGGUGGUCGGUGGGGGGGGUUGGGCGGGGAGGGGGAGGCCCCCCCCCGGGGGUCAUCCCCCCGGCCCCCGCGGGGCGAGGCUCAUACUGCGGUCUCCCCCUUGCCGCUGUGGCUGAGUCUGUGGUAGAAGCGCCGCCACGACUGCAGGGUCUUGCCCGACCAGAUCCAGAAGCCCGUGGUGAUGCCCACGAUCAUGGUCAUCAGGUACUUGAUCAUGAACACGGUGAAGUCGGGGCUGACCGGGGCGAGGUGGCCCGGCGGGCAGGGCACGGCGUAGCUCUUGCAGGUCUGCAGCAGCCAGGAGCGCUGCCAGUGUUCGCGGAAGGCCUGCUCGUAGAAGUAGCAGGCCAGGACGAUGGUGGCGGGCACGGUGUAGAGCACGGAGAAGACGCCGAUGCGCACCAUCAGCUUCUCCAGCUUCUCCGUCUUGGUGCCGUCGUGCUUCAUGAUGGUGCGGAUGCGGAAGAGGGACACGAAGCCGGCCAGCAGGAAGGACGUGCCGAUGAACAGGUAGACGAAGAGCGGCGCCAGCACGAAGCCCCGCAGGGCGUCCACGUUGGACAGGCCCACGUAGCAGACGCCGCUCAGCAGGUCGCCGUCCACCUGCCCCAUGGCCAGGAUGGCGAUGGUCUUGACGGCCGGCACGGCCCAGGCGGCCAGGUGGAAGUACUGCGAGUUGGCCUCGAUGGCCUCGUGGCCCCACUUCAUGCCGGCCGCCAGGAACCAGGUGAGGGACAGGACGACCCACCAGAUGGAGCUGGCCAUGCCGAAGAAGUAGAGGACCAUGAAGAGGAUGGUGCAGCCUUCCUUCUUGGUGCCCUGCGCCACCGUGCGGUAGCCGUCCUCCGCGAAGCGCUCCACGCACACGGCCCGGUCCUCCAGCAGGAAGCCGGCCACGUGGGCCACGGCCACCAUGAAGUAGCAGCCGGACAGGAAGAUGAUGGGGCGCUCGGGGUAGCUGAAGCGCCGCAUGUCCACCAGGUAGGUGAGCACGGUGAAGAGCGUCGAGGCGCAGCACAGCACCGACCAGACGCCCACCCAGAGGCGGGCGAAGCGCCGCUCGUCCUCCUUGAAGUACAUGAGCCCGUUGGCGCGGCCCGGCUCGCAGGGGGCCCCGCAGUCCCGCUGGCCCAGGAAGCGGUAGCCCAGGUCUUUGAAGUCUGCAGCCCACACACCAGUGAUGAACCACAUAAACUGCCCCCCGCCGAAAACGGACAGGUUGGACCAGGCUGACUCGGACCUUACUGCCGGAUGGGACGCACUGCAGGCCUGAGGGUUGGACACUGUGGUCACUGUGUGUGUGACAUCUGUGUGUAAUCAGGGACCAACAACUCAACCGUGACCCAAGGGACGCGGAGUCACCGCCCCUGGAGCCUCACGAUUGAAAAUGAAUGAAGAAAUGAAUGGAGCCAAUAUUUCUACCCCGACUGGGUCAUCGAAGGAAGAGUUUGCCACGACAUCUAGGGAUACAGGAGAAUUUUGAGUUUGCCUUCUUCGACAGACCUCGCCCCAUUUUGUUUAGUUAGUUAUCAAUCCAUGGUACUUACUGAGCACUUACUGUGUGCAGAGCACUUGGGAGAGUACAGUAUAAAAGAGUUAGUAGACACGUUUCCUGACCACAAUGAGCUUACAAUCUAGUGGGAUCGAAACUUUUGGGCCAUUAGCCAAGCUAAUCCCAGUUCCCCUAAUCAGCUGCGAGUAAACACUGGCACUCAAAUCUCUGACUUUCUCCCUGCACCUAAUUCUUGGGACUGGGCUUCCACCGGGGCGGCCCAGUCAAUGACAUGGUGAAAUCUCAUGAGGAGAAAAACCAAACUACAGGAAUGAAAUGACGUGACCUCAUUGGAAAAAGAAUGGGCCUGAGAGUCAGGGGACCUAAUAAUAAUAAUAUUUGCUAAGCGCUUACUAUGUGCCAGGCACAGUAUUAAGUGCUGCAGUAGGCACAGUCCCUGUCCCAGAUAGGGCUCACAGUCUCAAUCCCCAUUUUACAGAUGAGGUAACUGAGGCCCAGAUAAUUUAACUGAGGCCCAGAGAAGUGAAAUGACUGGCCCAAGGUCACACAACAUAUAGUUGGCGGAGCCGAAUUGGAACCCACGACCUUCUGACUCCCAGGGCUGUGCUCUUUCCACUUGGCCACGCUGCUUCUCUAGGGCUCUAAUCCCAGGUCUGCCACUUGCCUGCUGUGUGACCCCGGGCAGGUCACUUCACUUCUCUGGCUCUCAGUGACCUCAUCUGUAAAAUGGAGAUUAAGACUGUGAGCCCCAUGUGGGACUGGGACUGUGUUCAACCCGAUUAGCUUGUAUCGACCCCAGCGCUUCGUACGGUACCUGGCACAGGGUAAGUACUUAACGAAUACCAUUAAAAAAAGAAGGCUGAAGGAAACUAAGGCACAAGGACUCCAGGAAAUAACUCAGGAGCCCAUGACUCCCAAAUGGCAUAUGAGUCAGUGUGGCAGUAGCUAUAAUUAAAAAAAGCUAGCGUGGUCCUGGGCCAUUAAUAUCGGGAUGACAUACAAGAGCUAGGAAAUAAUCUUUGGGUUAUACGCUUUAGGGGCCUGGUAUUUAUUUCACUAUUCUGUUCAGUCACAGCCUCCACAUUUUAAAAAUGAGGUGGAGAAACUGGAUGGGGCCCAGAAUGAGGCAAUAAGAGCGACGCAAGGAAUGGAAAAGAAAUUCUGGCCAGAGGGAGGAGGGGGGUGGAAGUUGAAGGAAUAGGGAUUGUUGAGUUGAAGGACAAGAAAGCUGAAAGGUGACGGGUGGGUCUUCAAGUGUCUGACGGGUGACCUCGUGGCGGGAUCUGUCUCUGCAGACAGUGGAACAGGAGGAAAUUGGCAAGCGUUUGUUUAGACAGAAAGAAGAGCCUCUCAACUCGAAGGGGGGAUUAAAUUUGGGGCCCGCCACUGGGGGAAGAUGGGAAGUUUUCCCCGGAGACCUGAAAUAGGGGCGGUAUCGACUACCAACGGGGGAUUGGUUUUGACUCUUCACCAGCCAACAAUCAAUACUAUUUCUUGAGUCUGUGCUGAGCACUCUACUACACUCUUGGGAGAGUACCCAACUAGUAUAGUAGUUAUUAAGUGCUUCUUGGGUGCAGAGCCCUGCACUAAGCCCUGGGAGAGAAUACACCAGUGGGAGUUAGGCUCAGUUCCAGUCUCUUGGAGACUUUCAGUCUAGUGUAAGUAGACACGGUUUCUGUCUCAAACAAUCAAUCAAUCAUUUGUAUUUAUUGCAUUUAAUAAAUACGAUUGAUUGACUGAGCACUUACUGUGUGCACAGAAAUGUCUUUAAACACUUGUAUCUAUUAUAUUGUUGUAGUCUCCCAAGCGCAUGCAGUAAGGGCUCAAUAAAUGUCUCCCCCUCCAGACUGUAAGCUCACUGUAGGCAGGGAAUGUGUCUGUUUAUUGUUAUAUUUUAGUCCCCCAAGCGCUUAAUACAGUGUUCUGCAUACGGUAAGUGCUCAAUAAAUAUGAUUGAAUAAAUGAAUGAAUAAAUGGGAUUGACUGAUUAACUGGGGGCGUAUAAUACAGCAGAGUUGGUAGAUACAUCCCCUGCCCACAAUGAGCUUACUGUCUAAAGGCGGAGACAGACACUAAAUAUGAAUAAUUUACAGACAUGUGCAUAAGUUCCAUUAUUCAACAGGUAAAGCUCCUGUUGAACUCUCCUAAACACCAAGUAGACUGGUCUGCCCCCGGAAGGCGCUCAACAAACAGGCUUGAUUGAUUGAUGGAGUCAUUUCCCUCCCUAGAGCCAGGGGCUGUUCCAGGUGGCCCUUUGAAAUGCCUUCCAUAAUUUUCAAAGUCAUCUCUAUGAUGGAGUCUAUUCUGUGGGGUGUUUUUCUGGCAGGUUCCUUUCCCCAGGCUCACUCUUUCCCACCUCACAGGGUGGAAUCGAUCUCUCUCCCACCUCACAGGGUGGAAUCGAUCUCUAAAGUCAGUUUAGUCCUGCUCCUCCUCCCCCAC
rnacentral:lncRNA from 1 species